rnacentral:rRNA from 1 species
GACGAACGCUGGCGGCGCGCUUAACACAUGCAAGUCGAGCGAAGCGGCGGACGGGUGAGUAACACGUGAGUAACCUGACUUAGACAUUGGGAGAGCCUCGGGAAACCGGGAUUAAUACCAAAUGGUCUAAGAUGGACUCGCGUCCCAUUAGUUAAUUGGUGAGGUAACGGCCCACCAAGGCGACGAUGGGUAGCCGGCCUGAGAGGGUGCACGGCCACAUUGGAACUGAGAAACGGUCCAAACUCUACGGGAGGCAGCAGUGGGGAAUAUUGCACAAUGGAGGGACCUCUGAUGCAGCGACGCCGCGUGAACGAAGAAGGCUUUCGAGUCGUAAAGUUCGUUUAUAUGGGAAGCGGUACCAUAAGAAAAAGCCCCGGCUAACUACGUGCCAGCAGCCGCGGUAAUUC